GACGAACGCUGGCGGCGUGCUUAACACAUGCAAGUCGAACGGAAAGGCCCUGCUUUUGUGGGGUGCUCGAGUGGCGAACGGGUGAGUAACACGUGAGUAACCUGCCCUUGACUUUGGGAUAACUUCAGGAAACUGGGGCUAAUACCGGAUAGGAGCUCCUGCUGCAUGGUGGGGGUUGGAAAGUUUCGGCGGUUGGGGAUGGACUCGCGGCUUAUCAGCUUGUUGGUGGGGUAGUGGCUUACCAAGGCUUUGACGGGUAGCCGGCCUGAGAGGGUGACCGGCCGCAUUGGGACUGAGAUACGGCCCAGACUCCUACGGGAGGCAGCAGUGGGGAAUAUUGCACUAUGGGCGGAAGCCUGAUGCAGCAACGCCGCGUGCGGGAUGACGGCCUUCGGGUUGUAAACCGCUUUCGCCUGUGACGAAGCGUGAGUGACGGUAAUGGGUAAAGAAGCACCGGCUAACUACGUG
rnacentral:rRNA from 1 species